GACGAACGCUGGCGGCGUGCUUAACACAUGCAAGUCGAACGGAAAGGCCUGCUUUCCCUUGUGGAUUGCGGGUACUCGAGUGGCGAACGGGUGAGUAACACGUGAGUGAUCUGCCCCCAACUUGGGUAUAAGCCUGGGAAACUGGGUCUAAUUCCCGAUAGGACUGCAGGGUGGUGCCUGUGGUGGAGAACGAUUUUCUAGUGGUUGGGGAUGAGCUCGCGGCCUAUCAGCUUGUUGGUGGGGUAAUGGCCUACCAAGGCGGCGACGGGUAGCCGGCCUGGGAGGGUGGACGGCCACAUUGGGACUGAGAUACGGCCCAGACUACUACGGGAGGCAGCAGUGGGGAAUAUUGCACAAUGGGCGGAAGCCUGAUGCAGCGACGCCGCGUGGGGGAUGACGGCCUUCGGGUUGUAAACUCCUUUCGACCGCGAGGAAGCCACCUGGUUGGAAGGGUGGUGACGGUAGUGGUAGAAGAAGCACCGGCUAACUACGUG
rnacentral:rRNA from 1 species